rnacentral:snoRNA from 7 species
CACUUCUCAAUGAGCUCCUUCCUGCCGACAUAUCCAUGGCAGCCUAUGGAUUCGCACGAGAAGGACAUAAACAGCUCAGUAGUGGCACGCUCACAACCUGGUUAUACAUCAGUUGUGAUUAACCACUUACUGUUCUACAAGU